rnacentral:rRNA from 1 species
UGACGGGGACCCGCACAAGCGGUGGAGCAUGUGGUUUAAUUUCGAAGCAACGCGAAGACCUUACCAAAUCUUGACAUCCUUUGACAACUCUAGAGAUAGAGCUUUCCCCUUCGGGGGACAAAGUGACAGGUGGUGCAUGGUUGUCGUCAGCUCGUGUCGUGAGAUGUUGGGUUAAGUCCCGCAACGAGCGCAACCCUUAAGCUUAGUUGCCAUCAUUAAGUUGGGCACUCUAAGUUGACUGCCGGUGACAAACCGGAGGAAGGUGGGGAUGACGUCAAAUCAUCAUGCCCCUUAUGAUUUGGGCUACACACGUGCUACAAUGGACAAUACAAAGGGCAGCGAAACCGCGAGGUCAAGCAAAUCCCAUAAAGUUGUUCUCAGUUCGGAUUGUAGUCUGCAACUCGACUACAUGAAGCUGGAAUCGCUAGUAAUCGUAGAUCAGCAUGCUACGGUGAAUACGUUCCCGGGUCUUGUACACACCGCCCGUCACACCACGAGAGUUUGUAACACCCGAAGCCGGUGGAGUAACCAUUUGGAGCUAGCGGUUCGGGGUGUGACAACAUG